rnacentral:lncRNA from 1 species
GUUGGAGACUACAGCUGUUGCCUUGGUGAGACAACAUUUCUUGUUCAAGUAAUGUUGACAACUUUGCCAGUUCCUUCUGUCGACGUCACGUUCGGGAAGAGCUCGGAAUUUGUCUCAGGAACAAAUUGCUAUUGGGGGAAAAUAAAAUACUAUUGGGAACUACGGGAAGUAUUGCAGAGUUUGAGGCUUUAUUCAGGCUGAAACUGCAUUGAAGUACAGUACUCCGGAUGCAACGCUUUUUCUUCUCUGUGCACCUUCAAUCAACAUCUGCAAAUACCCAAUUUAUUUAAUACCCGUUUCUCCAAGCAACAACUGUGAAGUAUGGAUCGCAUUAAUUUAAAAUUUGUAUGAUCUCACUACGGUUAGUGCUGAAAUCUUGGUACAUAACACGGAACUCCAAAAAGGUUCCUCGGAAGGAAAUAGCCGAGGAUAAAGAAACUCAGUUGAAAAUCAAAUCUGAUCACUGGCGUACAAGCUUUUACUGAAGCAAACGCCG